ensembl:snRNA U6 U6 spliceosomal RNA
GUCUUAUUCCAGCACUACAUAUACAAAAACUGAAGGAUACAGAGAAAAUUCGCAUUGCCCCUGCACAAGGAUAACACACAAAUUCAUGAAGCAUUCCACAUUUUU